UGAGGACUCUCCUAUCCUCUUUCCUUUCUAAGCUCCUUGAUCACCAGUCCCAGAGGGGUCAAUAGCUGGAACGCAAGCUAGAGAAAGAAGAACAGAGAAGAGAAGAAGAACCAGCUUCUUUAAUCUCUGCAAGUGGCCAGCCUAUAGCAGGCUCUAAUUUAGUUGUGGGAGGGGAGAAGAUUUUAAAUUUAAUCAAGUUUAGAAUUGUAAUUAUUAUCUGGGACCAAAGAUUUAAAUGAUUGAAUUGACGCUGUGUUUACAUCCUAAAGUGACUUUUAAACUUUUUUAUUAGUUACAAGAGACCUAAAAUCAUGAACGAUCUGGGAUUUUUCAUCCUGGAGCCACUUUACCUUGGCCAUGAUCUGCGUAAGAAAAAGGGAUACUUUGCACCAUGUCUGUCAAUAACCAGGGAACUAAUGACUAGACCCUGAGACCUCUGCUACAGAUGCUCAGAAAAACAAGUGUCCUGACUACUGUGCUUGCACAAAGCAGCAGCAGCAGCAGGAGCAGCAGCAGUGUGACCUCUUAUGCAUGAUGUUCACUUCCUCCCAAAUCUGGCAUGGGGCUAUCUGCCUGACAGAAUUGAGAUCAGGUGCAGAACCAGAGCUGAAGGGAGAUUGAGGAUGUAGUCUUGCCUUUCUAUUCUCAGGUAUGCAGCAUGCACAGCCAUGCAAGGAGUUGGCACGGAAUCAAGGCAACCAGCCUGCAGUGUCUGACAGAGUGCUCACACCGCACACCUGGCAAUCUAUGUCCGGGGUAGUUUCACCACAUAAAUGUGUUUACUCAAGAGAAAAUUUAUAAGAAAUUGUCCACUUCAUGGCCUCACUAGACCUGGAAGCUGACUACUCACUGCCAUCCGGGUGUGACCCCCUCACUGUCUCCUGCUAAGUGCCAGCUGUUCCCUAGACCCACUGUUUCCUUAAACAACGAAGCUUCUCUUCACAGGUCUAAUCAGAGAGCAUUCAUACCUUAUCCAAUUGAUAUGGUUUGGCUGUGUCCCCACCCAAAUCUCAUCUUGAAUUGUAAUCCCCAUAAUCCCCAUUUGUUGAGGGAGGGAGGUGAUUGGAUCAUGGGGUUGGUUCCUUUAUGCUGUUUUUGUGAUAGUGAGUGAGUGAGUUCUCAUGAGAUCUGAUGGUUUUAAAAGUGUCUAGCAUUUCCCCUGCUCGCAGUUCUCUCUCCUGCCACCUUGUGAAGAAGGUGCCUGCUUCCCCUUCACCUUCUGCCAUGAUUAUGUUUCCUGAAGCCUCCUCAGCCAUGCGGAACUGUGAGUCAAUUAAACUUAUUUCUUUUAUGAAUCACCUAGUCUUGGAUAGUAUCUUUAUAGCAGUGGGAGAAUGGACUAAUACACCCAUUCUCUGGGGCCCAGCUGAAGAGCUGCACCCUCCAGGAGCCUUUCCUUAGGCUUUCCACCUGGCUCCUUUGAGCACCUGCUUUUCUGUGAUUUCACAGCAUGUCCUGCCCAGAACAUCAUUUUUUUUUACACUGAAUUGUGUAAACUUUGCUUUGUUUGCUCAUUACUUCAUUCAUUCAUUUAACAAACAUGUAAGGACCCAUUCAAGGUGCUUUGCCGGGUGCUAGGUGGUGAACAAAAUAGGCAUGGUCCCUGUCCUAUUAAAGUUUACAGACUUGUAUGGAGGAGACAGACAUUGAACAAGUAAGCAAAUAUGUAAAUAUAAAAUCCAGAUUGCAAUAAGAGUUAUGAAGGAAAAUUACAAAGUGCUUUGAGAGAGUAAAUCAAGGGUCUGUCUUAAGUUGGGUGGUCGGAGGAGUUGGCCCCUAGGAGGUAAUAUUUAAAACAGGAAGUGUAAGUAGGGGUUAGAUACAUGAGCAGUAGGAGGAAAAACAUUCCAGGCAGAAGGAAUUAUAUGUUUAAAGACCUUGAGUCAGGGGAGAGAGCAAAGCAUUUUGGGAAUUAAAAGGACAGUAUGUUUGGGCAUGGUGGCAGAGGGUCAGUAGCAGGAGUGAGAAGAGCUUAGAAAUAUAAGCAGAUCAGCCAGGCGCGGUGGCUCAUGCCUGUAAUCCCAGCACUUUGGGAGGCCUAAGUGGGCGGAUCACAAGGUCAGGAGAUCGAGAUCAUCCUGGUUAACACGGUGAAACCCUGUCUCUACUAAAAAUAUAAAAAAUUAGCCAGGCGUGGUGGCGAGCGCCUGUAGUUCCCGCUACUCGGGAGGCUGAGGCAGGAGAAUGGCGUGAACCCGGGAGGCGGAGCUUGCAGUGAGCCGAGAUCGCGCCACUGCACUCCAUCCCGCCUGGGCGACAGAACAAGAGUCGUCUC
rnacentral:lncRNA from 1 species